CUGUUGCCAAACGCGUCCGUCUCCCCGGGGCCGUCCUUGGGGCCGGGCGCCGCCGGGGCAGCGGGUGGCGACACCCCGGGCUGCGGAUGCGUGCUCCCCUUGCCCAGCUCCUGCAAGAUCUCCGAAGGAGAGCUGGACAGGCCCCGCGCGAGGGGCUCCGCCGGCCAGCCGCCCCCGCCCCACCACGGGUGGAGUCGCGCGGCGGCAGCCGGGCCCGCGGCCGGCCGUCCCCCGCCUCGGGGACGCCGGCACAGGGUGACCAAGGGCUGUGCCCGCCGCAGAGUCGCGCUCACGCCGGCGGGCGACCGCAGGAGCAGGUCCCGCAGCAUCCCCGAGCCUCGCAGCCGCAUCAUGCCGCCGGGUCCGUCAGCGCCCGCUCAACAGGGGAGGAUGCUCCGGGCGUGGGCGGCCGGUUUCCUCGGGGAACGCGGUCUGUGGUGGGGCGGUGAGAUGACAGAAGAGGAAAGGGCAGCUACUUGGGUGUGGUUCCGGCUCGGACUCCCGCAGCGGAUGCGGGUGCUGCUGCUGCUGCUGCUGCUGCUGCUGCUGCUGCUGCUGCUGCUGC
rnacentral:lncRNA from 1 species